rnacentral:rRNA from 1 species
UGUGCAGGCGGGCUAACAAGUGGUGUAUGAAAUGGUCAGGCUCAACCUGGCUAUGUUAUGCCAGACUGUUGGUCUAGAGUGCGAGAGAGGGGCGUGGAAUUCCGGGUGUAGUGGUGAAAUGCGUAGAGAUCCGGAGGAACCCCAGAGGCGAAGGCGGCGCCCUGGCUCGCAACUGACGCUCAGCCACGACAGCAUGGGGAGCGAACGGGAUUAGAAACCCCGGUAGUCCAUGCCGUAAACGAUGCAAACUAGGCGCUGGCGGUCUCAACCCCGCCGGUGCCGUAGCUAACGCGCUAAGUUUGCCGCCUGGGGAGUACGGCCGCAAGGCUAAA